CCGCCACUAGCUCAUCUGGAUAGAGCAGCAGCUUUCUAAGUUGUAGGUACGAGGUUCAAGUCCCCGGUGGCGGAUCA
rnacentral:tRNA from 1 species